AACUGAUUGAUUGCUGUUUUUACUUAAAACAAAUUCAUUCGUUUGAAUACCUAAAUAUGAUUUCUCAACAUUAUAGUUGGAGAAACUAUUUGAGUGAUUAAUAAUAUUGGACUGAUUCAAUGUAAAUGACGCAUUAUAUACGUCGCCUACAUCCAUGGAACUUGAUUCUAUAUCAAUUUUGUUAGUUACCAUGGGAAGUUAAACAUUAGUCACAUGAAUUUUUUCAGUCGUCGUAUUUCUUUCUCCUUGUUAAAUUUCAUUUAAACUUACACAUGAAUAUAAUGUAUCAUCUUCUAUUAUAGUAUUACUAUCACUCUUGACACUUGUGUUAACAAAAAAUUUACUUUUUGUAAUAACGUUUUCAUUUAUAAUUGUUCUUCUAACAGGCAUCAUAUUUCUUCUCUUCAUACGACUCCUACUUGAAAACAAAAGACUCGGAGAAGUUUUAUUAGUGGACGUCUGCGCGAAAAAAGGAUUAGUUCGUCUAAUUAAAAUAGGAGAUGUUUCUUCUUCACUGAGAGACGAUAAGUUUACUUCUAAAUUAUUUCCGAUGAUCAAAAUUGUGAAGCACUUCUAAAGAAAAUGGAUCACAGUUUCCUAAAGCAAGUUGUAAUGCAUCGUCUGGAUUUGUUUCUACGCCAGCAUAAUAUAAUUGCUCCUCUGUUGUGUCAGGUGAAGGUGGAUUCAAGCGAACUUGUUUUCUUUGCAAAGGACAAAAUACUAAUUGAUGUUUAAAAGUAAUAUCCGCCAAUAUAAAUGCAUCUCUAUAUUCUUUAGUUACAACUAGUGAUUUCAUCUUCAAGUAAGAUCCCAAGUGAGUUAAAGCCUAUAAAAAUAAUUGUAAUUGAUUUAUAUACAUAACAUUAUGGAGAUCAAUAAAGCAACAUACUCUGUAUA